GAUUAGCGUUAUGGAUCAUAUCAAAUAUAGAACAGAGAGAUUUAAUGACAGUUGGUGCUUCAAACAAACAAGCUAGCACAAGAAAUGCAUUUAAGAAAUUACUGCUGAACAAAACUAGAUUACAGCUAUAACUAUAAAAGGAAGCUGAGACAUGUAAAAUUAAGAUGUCUUCAAGCAACAGAAACAAUGUCAUUUGUGUAGAAAUUCUUCUUAGAAUCACAUAAUUAAUGAAUUGUAUGUUUUAUAUAGAUCUGACCAUGCUUUGGAUUUAUUACAUUAUGUCCAAUUCAAUAUACCAAAUAAAAACAAUGACAGCCUGCUUAAAGACUAUAAUUUCUUAUUGAAAUAUUAAAUGAACAAUGUUGAGACAGAUCAACUCAAACCAGCUUUAUAGCAUGAGCCCAACAAUUAUAUAUCUGAAUAUUGCAGUUUAUAGUGCCAAGGCACAUAUA
rnacentral:misc_RNA from 1 species